rnacentral:rRNA from 2 species
ACGGAAGGCAGCAGUGGGGAAUAUUGCACAAUGGGGGAAACCCUGAUGCAGCGACGCCGCGUGAGUGAAGAAGUAUUUCGGUAUGUAAAGCUCUAUCAGCAGGGAAGAUAAUGACGGUACCUGACUAAGAAGCCCCGGCUAACUACGUGCCAGCAGCCGCGGUAAUACGUAGGGGGCAAGCGUUAUCCGGAUUUACUGGGUGUAAAGGGAGCGUAGGUGGUUUGGCAAGUCAGAAGUGAAAGCCAGGGGCUCAACCCCUGGAUUGCUUUUGAAACUGUCAGACUAGAGUGCUGGAGAGGUAAGUGGAAUUCCUAGUGUAGCGGUGAAAUGCGUAGAUAUUAGGAGGAACACCAGUGGCGAAGGCGGCUUGCUGGACAGUAACUGACACUGAGGCUCGAAAGCGUGGGGAGCAAACAGGAUUAGAUACCCUGGUA